GUUGAAGUAACCCAUGCCAUACUCCCAGGAAAAGCUUGAACGACCUUUAACAAAUGGGUACCUAUACCGAAACUGACACAGGUAGGUAGGUAGAGAAUACCUAGGGGCAUGAGACAACUCUCUCUAAGGAACUUGACAAAAUAGCCCCGUAACUUCGGGAGAAGGGGUGCCUUCUCAGGAGGUCGCAGUGACCAGGCUCGGGCGACUGUUUACCAAAAACAUAGGUCUCCGCAAAGUCGUAAGACCAUGUAUGGGGGCUAACGCCUGCCCAGUGCUGAAAGGUUAAGGAAGUUGGUGACCUAAUGAUAGGGAAGCCAACGACCGAAGCCCCGGUGAACGGCGACCGUAACUAUAACGGUCCUAAGGUAGCGAAAUUCCUUGUCGGGUAAGUUACGACCCGCACAAAAGGCGUAACGAUCUGGGCACUAUCUCGGAGAGAGACUCGGUGAAAUAGACAUGUCUGUGAAGAUGCGGACUACCUGCACCUGGACAUAAAGACCCUAUGAAGCUUUACUGUUCCCUGGGAUUAUCUUUGGGUUCUUCUUGCGCAGCUUAGGUGGAAGGCAAAGAAGGCUCCCUCUCGGGGGGGCCUGAGUGUAAGGUAGCUAGAGAGGUGGUGGGGGGGCCAGAGGGCCCAUAGUGAUAAUAGUGGAGGUCAUUCAAUAUAAGGUGGACUAGGUCCACUAUAUU
rnacentral:ncRNA from 1 species